rnacentral:rRNA from 1 species
UGAUGACGAGACGCUAAGGCGUUGAAGCAGUGUAUGUCAGACUUCCAAGAAAAGCUCGCAAUGUCACAAAUAAAAAUGCCUGUACCAUAACCGACACAGGUGGGUAGGUAGAGUAUACUAAGGGGCGCGAGAUAACUCUCUCUAAGGAACUCGGCAAAAUGACUCCGUAACUUCGGGAGAAGGAGUGCCUUAUUUAUAAGGUUGCAAUAACAAGAUCCAAGCAACUGUUUAUCAAAAACACAGGUCUCCGCUAAGUCGUAAGACGAUGUAUGGGGGCUGACGCCUGCCCAGUGCCAGAAGGUUAAAGAAGUUGGUUAGUGUAUGCGAAGCUGAUGACUGAAGCCCUGGUGAACGGCGGCCGUAACAAUAACGGUCCUAAGGUAGCGAAAUUCCUUGUCGGGUAAGUUCCGACCCGCACGAAAGGCGUAAUGAUUUGGAUACUGUCUCGGAGAGAGGCUCGGUGAAAUAGACUUGUCUGUGAAGAUGCGGACUACCUGCACCAGGACAGAAAGACCCUAUGAAGCUUUACUGUAACUUGAAAUUGGAAUUGGACUUUGCUUGCGCAGUAUAGGUGGGAAGCGUUGAAAAUAUUCUUGCGGGAGUAUUGGAGCUAUCAGUGAGAUACCACUCUUGUAAUGUUAGAUUUCUAACUUUGAACCAUAAUCUGGUCAAAGAACAGUUUCAGGUGGGCAGUUUGACUGGGGCGGUCGCCUCCCAAAUGGUAACGGAGGCGUACAAAGGUUUCCUCUGAACGGAUAGAAAUCGUAUCUAGAGUGUAAAGGCAUAAGGAAGCUUGACUGUGAGACCUACAAGUCGAGCAGGGACGAAAGUCGGUCUUAGUGAUCUGACGGUACUGAGUGGAAAGGCCGUCACUCAACGGAUAAAAGUUACUCUAGGAUAACAGGCUGAUCUCCCCCAAGAGUUCACAUCGACGGGGAGGUUUGGCACCUCGAUGUCGGCUCAUCGCAUCCUGGGGCGGUAGUACGUCCCAAGGGUUGGGCUGUUCGCCCAUGAAAGCGGUACGCGAGCUGGGUUCAGAACGUCGUGAGACAGUUCGGUCCAUAUCCGGUGUAGGCGCUAGAAUAUUGAGAGGAGCCUUCUUUAGUACGAGAGGACCGAGAAGGACACACCGCUGGUGUACCAGUUAUCGUGCCAACGGUAAACGCUGGGUAGCUAUGUGUGGAGUGGAUAACCGCUGAAAGCAUCUAAGUGGGAAGCCCACCUCGAGGUG